rnacentral:rRNA from 1 species
UCAGUUCGGAUUGGAGUCUGCAACUCGACUCCAUGAAGCUGGAUUCGCUAGUAAUCGCGCAUCAGCCAUGGCGCGGUGAAUACGUUCCCGGGCCUUGUACACACCGCCCGUCAAGCCAUGGGAGCCGGGAGCGCUUGAAGUGCGUCGCCGCGAGGCGCGCCCUAGAGCGAGACCGGUGACUGGGGCUAAGUCGUAACAAGGUAAC